CCUACGGGAGGCAGCAGUGAGGAAUAUUGGUCAAUGGACGAGAGUCUGAACCAGCCAAGUCGCGUGAAGGAUGACUGCCCUAUGGGUUGUAAACUUCUUUUAUAUGGGAAUAAAAUGUUCCACGUGUGGGAGUUUGUAUGUACCAUAUGAAUAAGGAUCGGCGAACUCCGUGCCAGCAGCCCGGGUAAUACGGAGGAUCCGAGCGUUAUCCGGGUUUAUUGGGUUUAAAGGGAGCGUAGGUGGAUUUUUAAGUCCGUUGUGAAAGUUUGCGGCGCAACCGUAAAAUUGCAGUUGAAACUGGCGUUCUUGAGUACAGUAGAGGUGGGCGGAAUGCGUGGUGUAGCGGUGAAAUGCUUAGAUAUCACGAAGAACUCCGAUUGCGAAGGCAGUUCACUGGACUGCAACUGACACUGAGGCUCGAAAGUGUGGGUAUCAAACAGGAUUAGAUACCCUGGUAGUC
rnacentral:rRNA from 1 species